AGUGUGUUUUGUUUUGUGUCAGGUGAGGAGUUAUAACUUGGUGUAGUUUAUUAUGAAGUAUUGGGGGUUUAAUGAGGUGGAUUAGGAAGAAGGUGGUGAGCUGGCAGAA